GACGAACGCUGGCGGCGUGCUUAACACAUGCAAGUCGAACGGAAAGGCCUGCUUUCCCUUGUGGAUUGCGGGUACUCGAGUGGCGAACGGGUGAGUAACACGUGAGUGAUCUGCCCCCAACUUGGGUAUAAGCCUGGGAAACUGGGUCUAAUUCCCGAUAGGACUGCAGGGUGGUGCCUGUGGUGGAAAACGAUGUUCUAGUGGUUGGGGAUGAGCUCGCGGCCUAUCAGCUUGUUGGUGGGGUAAUGGCCUACCAAGGCGGCGACGGGUAGCCGGCCUGCGAGCGUGGACGGCCACAGUGGGACUGAGAUACGGCCCAGACUCCUACGGGCGGCAGCAGUGGGGAAUAUUGCACAAUGGGCGGAAGCCUGAUGCAGCGACGCCGCGUGGGGGAUGACGGCCUUCGGGUUGUAAACUCCUUUCGACCGCGAGGAAGCCACCUGGUUGGAAGGGUGGUGACGGUAGUGGUAGAAGAAGCACCGGCUAACUACGUG
rnacentral:rRNA from 1 species